GGAGGAUCCGAGCGUUAUCCGGAUUUAUUGGGUUUAAAGGGAGCGUAGAUGGAUGUUUAAGUCAGUUGUGAAAGUUUGCGGCUCAACCGUAAAAUUGCAGUUGAUACUGGAUGUCUUGAGUGCAGUUGAGGCAGGCGGAAUUCGUGGUGUAGCGGUGAAAUGCUUAGAUAUCACGAAGAACUCCGAUUGCGAAGGCAGCCUGCUAAGCUGCAACUGACAUUGAGGCUCGAAAGUGUGGGUAUCAAACAGGAUUAGAUACCCUGGUAGUCCACACGGUAAACGAUGAAUACUCGCUGUUUGCGAUAUACGGCAAGCGGCCAAGCGAAAGCGUUAAGUAUUCCACCUGGGGAGUACGCCGGCAACGGUGAAACUCAAAGG
rnacentral:rRNA from 1 species